AUUGAACGCUGGCGGAAUGCUUUACACAUGCAAGUCGAACGGCAGCAUAGAGAGCUUGCUCUCUGAUGGCGAGUGGCGAACGGGUGAGUAAUAUAUCGGAACGUGCCUAGUAAUGGGGAAUAACUAGCUGAAAGGUUAGCUAAUGCCGCAUACGACCUACGGGUGAAAGCAGGGGAUCUUCGGACCUUGCGUUAUUAGAGCGGCCGAUAUCUGAUUAGCUUGUUGGUGGGGUAAUGGCCUACCAAGGCGACGAUCAGUAGCUGGUCUGAGAGGACGAUCAGCCACACUGGAACUGAGACACGGUCCAGACUCCUACGGGAGGCAGCAGUGGGGAAUUUUGGACAAUGGGGGCAACCCUGAUCCAGCCAUUCCGCGUGAGUGAAGAAGGCCUUCGGGUUGUAAAGCUCUUUCGCAAGAGAAGAAAACUUGCUAUCUAAUAAAUAGUAAGCAUGACGGUAUCUUGACAAGAAGCACCGGCUAACUACGUGCCAGCAGCCGCGGUAAUACGUAGGGUGCAAGCGUUAAUCGGAAUUACUGGGCGUAAAGCGUGCGCAGGCAGUUUUAUAAGUCAGAUGUGAAAUCCCCGAGCUCAACUUGGGAACUGCGUUUGAAACUGUAAGACUAGAGUGUGUCAGAGGGGGGUAGAAUUCCAAGUGUAGCAGUGAAAUGCGUAGAGAUUUGGAGGAAUACCAAUGGCGAAGGCAGCCCCCUGGGAUAACACUGACGCUCAGCACGAA
rnacentral:rRNA from 1 species